UAUAUCAGUUAUAAUCUGCUCGAUUGUUAAGGUUAUUGGAUAACCGUGGGAAAUCUAGAGCUAAUACAUGUAACUCGCGGCGUGCGGUUCGCCAAACGCCGGUGGCAUUUAUUAGAGAAUACCAACCAUGAGACUUAGGUUUAGUGUGGUGAAUCUAGAUAACUGUGCAGAUCGUACGGCCUUGUGCUGACGACGUUUCGAUUGAAUUUCUGCCCUAUCAACUAGUUGCGAGUGUAGAGUACUCGCAAGGUGAUUACGGGUAACGGGGGAUCAGGGUUCGAUUCCGGAGAGGGAGCCUGAGAAACGGCUACCACAUCCAAGGAAGGCAGCAGGCGCGCAAAUUACACAAUCCAGACAGUGGGAUGUGGUAACGAGAAGUACCAGUUGACGACCUUUGGUUGUCAGUCUGGAAUGAAGUCAAUCUAAGUAAUUGACCUGAGUAACAACUGGAGGGCAAGUCUGGUGCCAGCAGCCGCGGUAAUUCCAGCUCCAGUAGCGUAUCUCAAAGUUGCUGCGCUUAAAACGCUCGUAGUUGGAUCACGCACUGUUUGUAGGUGGAUUUGAGUGUGUUAUUUAGCUCUGAAAAUUCAGAUGGUGUAUUUAUACACCGGACUGGAUCCAGAAACUUGGCAUAUGAUAAUCAAUAGCCCGCAGACAGUAAUUGCACGUGAGGAUGACCGCUGACCUUUAGUGCGUCGGAGGCCGUGUCUCACGGGGUGUGCCUUGAGUAAAUCAGAGUGCUUAAAGCAGGCGUUAGGCUUGAAUGUUGAUAGCAUGGAACGAACAAUCGUGUAUGGUGUGUGUUGACCACAGCGUGUUUACACGUUGCAACACACGACACCGACCGCCAGUUACGGAUGUUGGUUCCGUAUUGGGGUACUGAUUAAGAGGAGCGGUUGGGGGCAUUGGUAUUUGGCAGCGAGAGGUGAAAUUUUAAGACCUGCCAAGGACUAACAAAUGCGAAGGCAUCUGUCCAGACCGUAUCCAUUAAUCAAGAACGAUAGUGAGAGGUUCGAAGACGAUCAGAUACCGUCCUAGUUCUCACAGUAAACUAUGCCGACUCGGGAUCAGUUUGGAGCUAGUUUCCACGCUCGAUGUUGGUCCCCCUGGGAAACCUAAAGUUUUUCGGUUGCGGGGGGAGUAUGACCGCAAGGCUGAAACUUAAAGGAAUUGACGGAAGGGCACCACCAGGGGUGGAGCCUGCGGCUUAAUUUGACUCAACACGGGAAAACUUACCUGGUCCGGACAUCAAAAGGAUAUUCUGACUUGCGAUCAUAAUUGAUAUGGUGAUGAGUGGUGCAUGGCCGUUCUUAGUUCGUGGAGUGAUCUGUCUGGCUUAUCCCGAUAACGAGCGAGACCACGUUCUCCAUUUGACGAGUCGGAGAAGACCGUAGGUGAGCUUUUUUGGCAACAGAAUGGCUUGAAUGCGGUCCCGGGCGAUAUAAUGAGAUGAUGUAGAGGUUGUAAUGCGAGUGGCAACACAAACGUUGUAACUGAAGCGUUGUCAAGUUUUAUUCCCUCCGAAUCAACAGUACGCGGUUCGCAAGAAUCGUGUAUUGGAUCAUGGAGAGACAACGGAAUAUAUUACAAAAUCCGAGGAAGUGUGGCGAUAACAGGUCUGUGAUGCCCUUAGAUGUCCAGGG
rnacentral:rRNA from 1 species